UACGGAGAGUUUGAUCCUGGCUCAGGACGAACGCUGGCGGCGUGCUUAACACAUGCAAGUCGAACGAUGAAGCCCAGCUUGCUGGGUGGAUUAGUGGCGAACGGGUGAGUAACACGUGAGUAACCUGCCCUUAACUCUGGGAUAAGCCUGGGAAACUGGGUCUAAUACCGGAUGCGACUACUGCCCGCAUGGGCUGGUGGUGGAAAGGGUUAUGUACUGGUCUUAGAUGGGC
rnacentral:rRNA from 1 species